rnacentral:rRNA from 1 species
GAUGAACGCUGACAGAAUGCUUAACACAUGCCAGUCAUUGGCGAAGCUGCGCUUGCGCAGUCUAGCCAAGGCGGACGGGUGAGUAACGCGUAAGGAACUUGCCCUGCAGACAGGGAUAACAGACGGAAACGACUGAUAACACCUGGUAUUGUCAGGCUGGCGCAUGCCGGCCUGAUGAAAGGAGACGCUGCAGGAGAGCCUUGCGUCCUAUUAGCUAGUUGGUGGGGUAACGGCCCACCAAGGCGAUGAUAGGUAGCCGGCCUGAGAGGGUGAACGGCCACAAGGGGACUGAGAUACGGCCCUUACUCCUACGGGAGGCAGCAGUGGGGAAUAUUGGACAAUGGGGGCAACCCUGAUCCAGCAAUUCUGUGUGCACGAAGAAGGUUUUCGGAUUGUAAAGUGCUUUCAGCAGGGAAGAAGAAAGUGACGGUACCUGCAGAAGAAGCGACGGCUAAAUACGUG